UACGUAGGGGUCUAGCGUUGUCCGGAAUUAUUGGGCGUAAAGAGCUCGUAGGCGGUUCGGCAAGUCGGAUGUGAAAUCUCCACGCUUAACGUGGAGGGGCCAUUCGAAACUGCCGUGACUCGAGUCCGGUAGGGGAGUGUGGAAUUCCCGGUGUAGCGGUGAAAUGCGCAGAUAUCGGGAAGAACACCCGUGGCGAAGGCGGCUCUCUGGGACGGUACUGACGCUGAGACGCGAAAGCGUGGGGAGCGAACAGG
rnacentral:rRNA from 1 species